AGAGUCUCUCUCUGUGUUCCAGGAAGGGCCUGGCUGCAGGGACCCCAGGGAGUACCUAGAUUGGAGCAGGGCUGAGGGGGAAAGGCCAGGGGAGCUCUGGCCUGGAAAACCCCCAGGUUGCAAGGCCUAGAUUAGGGCCUAUUAGGUACUGGGGCUGCAAGGGGGAAGCACAUGGGUAGACAGAGGCAGCAGGUCCAAACCUCCUUGCCUGUGAUGAGUGGCUGAUCCACUGCAGUCUAAGUGAUGGCAGUAGCCAAGACUGAGGUAAGGUGUGGGUUGGGGUUCCCCAGGGAGGGGAGACCCUCAGGGAUUAUUGGAGUACUGCCAGGGGGUGGCACCCCAGUGGGAGAAAGCACCGGGUCCUGGAAGGGACUGGGGCCGGCGGUAAGGCGGAUCACCAGAUGGCAGAGGGCGCUCCAGAGGCUGAUGAGCUAAUUCCCAAGGACAACCAGCAGGAGGUGCCACCAGGUCUAAUUUUUACUGUUUUAAUACUGUGGUUUCAGUGCCAAUGUCAAUAUGAAGACAGGAGCAUUUCCAGUUUGACAGGUUGACCAUUGUUUUUCAGAACUUUGUCGAGGAGCAAGCAAUUUACAGAUGACAGAGACAACAGUCACAGAUUCUAUAUUGGAAUAUUUCAACAACGAAAAACUGACAGACUGCAGAGCAAAGCACAGUGAUAUUCAGCUAAGAAUCGUAUCCAUGUCUUGACACUGGGUAUGACACAAGUCAGAUUCCACCAUAAAUUGGUGAAUUAAAAUAGGACUUCUUUAUUAAGGAAAGGACUCUACAUGCUUUCUGUGAUUUCAAAAAUGACAAGCUUUUUUGCCAUUCUUGACUUGUCUCAGACUCACCUUGGUUUCCUCACUCUUCCACUCUGAAAGGAGCCCUUUGCCAGCACUGUGUUUUCCAACUAAAAGUAACCCAAGGUGCUUUCAUUUGCAGAAGCUUCAAAUACAAUGACUGCAAUGAAGAAUGAGAUCCCGUAAAACCUGAGGGCAGUGAUGAUUCCCAUUGAGCAUGCAAUCAACUUCCUAAAUCUCCUGACCAAGAACAAAGCAUCCAGUUGUGUCUACCAUGAUUCAUUGUGAUGCACAAGACAUGCACUCCAUGGUCCGUGUUGCUCCCGAGACUGCACAGGAACUAUUCAGUUCCACAUGAAUGAAGGAAGGUGACAAAGUAUUAUGGAAGAAUUUGGAAACUGCUCCAGUUGCAGCAUGAAAUGAAGUAACUGACAUGUUUUACUGUUUUAAAGGCAGCAUUUUUAGUUUAAGCUGAUGUAACUACAGAUGCUGCUCUGACAGGAAAAAACACUGGGAGUAAGGGGAUUUGAUGUAUUCCAGCCCUGAGCAGCCAUAAUAAUUACAGUAGAGUUUCACUGCUUCUCCCUCUGGCUAUGUAUAGGCUUACACAGGCAUAUAGAGUAUAUACACUACAUGCACGCCCACCUAGCACAGGUAUAAAUAGUAGUGUAGUACUUAAGCAAGUACAGACCUGCCAAAAUCUUACAGUAUGUACCCUAUGCAGCUCUUUAAAAUUGAGUCAAGUGCAACACUGUUGCAAAAAAGCAAACAUGUAUUAGCAGGAGUGUUAUAAGCCUUAAGUGCAGGGAACUGGAUUAGAAUACCUCUCAAAGCCCCUUCCAGUCCCCAGAUUCUACACACCCAAGCAGUGCCUGCAUGUCUACAUGGCUAUUUUUAGCAGCCUGUGUUUCACUGUGGCAUGUAACUACACAUACUCUACAUGCUGCUGCAAAUGUGGACAAAGCCUGUAUGUGCUUUAUUUGGACACUCUGAUGGUAGCUUUGAACUACUAGUUCCCUGAAGAAAAACCAGGAUUCAGCUUGCUCCCAUGGAACUAAAGGGCUUUCAAGAAACUUUGAAAAAUAUUCAGACUAUAUAUUCAUUCAAACAUAUUUUCAAAGAAGCAUCCACUUAGUUAAAGAAUGGACCAAUUGGACUGGCAAAGGAAUAGACAUAGGCUAGACAGACAUUUUGGAGCACACCAAUCUUUACUCAGCCAUUAGUAGACCAUCUUGAUCUUCCAGUCACAAACAUGCAUGAAUCUAACAUUCCUUCAGCCCUCUGCACAGAGUCAAGAUGUGGCUUUGAUUGAUAUCAGAUGACAAGUGGUUGAAUGAACUGUAUUUUUGAGUAUUCUUCAGAAGAAGAUUGAGCCAAAGGACAAGUUAUAAGUCUAUCUAGAUUUAGAACAAGGCAACUUGUAUAGAAGUUAAAAACUGUGCUACCUUUACAAACCUCAUUAGGCUAAUGUUCUGUUGAACAAUGAAUAUCAAUUGUUUCUUGAUUAGAAUCUUUGUGCCAGGCAACAAAUGUAGGGGAGGCAGAAGUAUUAGCACAUAGCUUUUUAUUUUUUAACCUUUCCUGAACAAUAUGAAUUACUAACCAAUGUCAGAUUCUGCAAACCCUUAUGCACAGGCUUAACUUUACACACAAUAAGCAUAUACCUAGCUAUUUGCAGGAUCUUGCUCUCAAGUUUCUCAUUUACUGAUCUCACUAGAUAAUAGCAAACUAUCUCUGUGCAGUAUUUAUUCAUUAAGUAAUUUUAGUUUCACAAAUUCCUUCUUCCCCCUGUAUUUGUAUUUCCAGCUGAUGUCCUUCAUUUCUAUAAGACUCAAGAGUUAGAGUGAAAUCCUGGCCCCAUUAAAAUCAACAGGAAUUUUGCCAUUGACAUAAGGAGGACCAGGAUUACACUCUUAGAUAUGAAGUAAAAUAGCUAAAUACUUCUUAGAAUUUACUGGACUGAAUCCAGGAUAGCUAAAAUAGGGAUCAAAGCAAAUGACAAGUGCUGGAGUAGUGAUGCAUUCAAUAUGAUUUUAAUGCCUAUGGUAUGGUUUUGGAAUGUCCAUUUGUACAUAAAUUCCAGGACAAAGGAGUUCAAAGAGCUAAUGCGCUUUUGAACAGCAGGGUUCUCUUUGGAUCCUAACAUUUUCCUGCAAAGGUUUCUAAGUGAUGUGGCUACAUUAGUAAAGCAGUGGAACAAUUUGAGUGAAGAGUUCAUUUAACAGAUAAAAAAUUGAUCCUUCAAAAACAAAAGCAUCUAAAGGCUUAAUAUUAUCAACUGGUACAAGUGUGAAUUAGAAAAUUUUAAAGAGUAUCAUGCCACAUAAAUGAAUAGGAUAAAUUGAAGGAAACUGUCACAUUCCUGGCUAUUUAUUAAUCUGUAAUAUAUGUGUUACCAUUUCAUCUGUGUAUACAGAUUUCUGUUUUCAGUCCAAUAGAUACAAACAAAAUGAACAGGAUGCAGAGUGUAUAGGGAACUAAGGAAUAUUUCAUUUUUUAUCUAGAAAAUGUUACAAAACUGAGCAGACACUUUAUUAGACAAUACAUAAAAUACUUACACGGACUGAUACACAAAUUGGCCUGAUAGGAUUUAAAUGGAUUUUGCUUCAUAGUCCCAGCACUUUCUUCUUUUCUGAAAGCUGUAUAUAUGACUAACUGUACAGCUGCAGCCUGCGGUCACACUGGUAAAUGCCCUUGAGCGAGAGGAUUAAUUCUGCCUGUCUGUACAUUGCUAAAAUUAUUACUGCAGUGUGUGUGCGUGUGUGUGUGACAUGAUUUCAUUAGGUGGGUUCUCAAGUGUGGGAAAUGAACCUAUUUUAGCAGAGAGUGCAAGAGCAGAGG